AAUUUUAGGAAAAAACUUUCUUCUUUGGUUCUAUUGAAAAAUGAAAAAUGACUUGAAGUAGGGCAUUCUCUCUUGGUUUCUGUGGCUGAAAUCUCUGAGUUUUCAAACGCUGAGUUUGGUUUUGCUUUGCUGGGCUGGUUACUGUUGCUGUUGCUCCCUCUCUUUUUGGAAGUUCAGUAUUGUUCUAGUGACCUCUAUUUGGUCUCUUUUCUUGAAUCAUCUUUAGGUAUGUAAUCAUGCUCUAACUAUGAAAUGAAUCUAUUUGUUCAAGCCUGAAGUUCUUCAUGAAUAUGUGUGUAUGGCUGAAGGCAAUGUGUGUUUAUUUCUGUCAAGUUUGUUUGGCAUUUUUGUAUGCACGAAAAAUAUUAUUAAAGUAGUAUCGAUAGCUUUGGUUCAUAGUAAAACACUUAGUUGAGAUUGUUGUAUAUGGUUCUCUUAAGUAAUAUUUUCUCUUCAUCCAUCUGAUUUCUUCACUUAAAUACCUUUUUCUGUUCUUUUCUUCUUAGUUGGCCAUGAGCUAUAACCUGUUGGUUCAGCCGCUAAUUGGUUGGAUCAGUCAGUUCAGAAGCUCUAAGGUGUGAUUUACAUGUUUCUUUAACAAAGGAAGAUGAAGCUACUAUGGACAAAGCCAUAUUCAAAAGAGGUAGGGAUAUUCUACUAGUAUACAAGUUUGUAAUAGUUUAGCUCGAGAUUUGAUUAGUAGAUUACUGUCGGAUUAGAUUGUCAUUUAGAAUAUUUGUUUCAAGAAAGCAGUGGCAUGAAUUAACAGUAAUACAAAACUCGUUUAUUGGUGUAAAGGUUGUCACUCAUAUUGGGAGUUUUGUAAUAAUUGGACUGUCCAAGAGCUUGGUUAAACAAGUUCUAUUUGUAAGUUCAAGCUUACAUUUCACAUGCUGGGUUGCAAUUAAUGCAUAUAAGUGUGUGCUCUUGGUAAAAUUUAAGGUGUAAUUUUUGUAAACAGCACUGAUUUAAAUUAAGAUGUCUCUUGUUUGAUUUUUUUUAUUAUUCUAUCAUGAGGAGAAUUUUGAGUGUUUGGUUUGGGCUUGGCG
rnacentral:lncRNA from 1 species